UAAUAAUUAAUGAUGUUAUUAAUAUAUAUAUUUAAUGUUAUUCUUUAAUUCUAUAUAUUAUAAAAAUAUAGAAAAAUUUUAUUUUAGAUAAAAUAUGAAUUUAUUUUUAAAUAAUUUAAUUAUUAAAUUAGAUGCACCUGAAGCUUGAGGGAUUUAUUUCCAAGAUAGUGCUACACCUCAAAUGGAAGGAUUAGUAGAAUUACACGAUAAUAUAAUGUAUUACUUAGUAAUAAUAUUAUUUG